GGGACGAACGCUGGCGGCGUGCUUAACACAUGCAAGUCGAGGGGGCCCAGCAAUGGGUCACCGGCGAACGGGUGCGUAACACGUGAGCAACCUGCCGCAGAGUGGGGGAUAGCCGGCCCAACGGCCGGGUAAUACCGCAUACGAUCCUAUCGGGACAUCCCGUAAGGAUGAAAGAUUUAUCGCUCUGCGAGGGGCUCGCGGCCUAUCAGCUAGUUGGCGAGGUAACGGCUCACCAAGGCGACGACGGGUAGC
rnacentral:rRNA from 1 species